ACUGUCUGAAAGACUACUCAGGCGUGCACUGCGAGGUGGAGAUCUGACUUCUCUUGUUCCCGCUUAAGACUGCCUCCUGUGUAAGUUUCUGCUAUCUAGAUCUUUGACUACCAACCAGCCAGGAGUGGUCUGCCUCUUCUUUGGUCUGAGCUUGCCUUGUGCUUAUAUUGUUGUACCCAAGCGAGUUAAGAAAAUACCCCACACUUUGAGACGAAUUAAGAGUCCUUUAGUAAGCCAGUGGCCAAAGAGACGGCUAAUGCUCAAAAUUCUCUCGGCCCCGAGGAAGGGGCUUGAUUAACUUUUAUACCUAGGUUUAGGAAGGGGAGGGGGACUCAAAUGCAAUAAUUCUACAGAAGCAAAAACAUGCCUUAAAAGACAAAUGGUUACAAGAAGAGCAACGGUACCAGGUGCAAGGUUGUAAAUCUUUCAUUGUAAUUAGAUAUAGGGUCUAUGCCGGACACGAACUCAAGGUUUUAUGUUGUUAUCUUUUUGAGAAAAAGCCUGGGAACUUCAUACAUUGUUGGUGUUACUACCUUAUCAGUUAAUUGGGCUCUUUUGAAACGCUGAGGAUCUGUUUACCCAGGCCAACUCCUUACUAAAGGGGGUUGGGUAAGGAGCCCUUAGUGUCUUGUAAAUUAAGGGGUCAAUUGGAGUUUGUCCGACCUUCCCAGCUAGAGAGAGUCUUAUUUACAUGAGAAGCAAGGCUGGGUGAUUAAAGAGACAAGCAGGACAAAAUUCAAAGUAACGAGUUAGAGUAAAAACAAGGUUAGGCAUUUCAAUAUAGGGUGGUUCUUAGUCCAGCAGGGCGUUUUCCCGAUAACCACCUGUUUAACUACAUUCACCCUUGGUGCAAGUGCCAAAAAACAAACAAACAAACAAAAAGACCAAGGCGAUAGGUAUUUGCACCAUAAACUUCUCCCAUCUUUUAUGUCCGUAAUUUUGUGUUAUUUCGCAUUUCUGACUGUUUAUAGAAUUGAAUUGGCCUUUACCUUAUCAUAUAAUAAUAUACUUUAAUUUUAAUCACAAAUACAUAUGUUAAGUAGAACACAAUCUAGGAAAUACAAGAUAAUACAGAGAAAAAUGGAAGUAUUGGGGAAAAGGAAACAGCACAAAACCAAGUGUGACGAAAAAGAUAAACUUUGACUUCUAAUUUCAACUGAGAAUCAAUGGACAAAACAUCAAAGCCAUUAUCUGAAAUGCAUGGUUCCAUUCAUGUGAGAGUUGGAGAGACAAAUGUUAGUAUUCCAAAAAAGAAAAUAAUUCGGUUUAGGCUUUGGGAAAAUCAGAUUCUGUGUCUUAACAGCAAAGGUCCAGCCCCAGCAGGAAGCAUGAGAACCCAAACAAUGCCCUUGUGCUAAUAUUGUUAAGUGGAGAAUCUGUAAAGAAAUAAUGAAGAAAAUGACAUUCACACAAGCUUAAAAGGACAUGGAUGUUUUGCUAAAGAAAAAAAUAUGUGUAGAAAUUAGUAAAUCAAGGAAGUAAUUUUGCUUAGCAUUCAAGUGCAUGGGCUUUGGAAUAAGGUAGAUCUGGUUUGAAUUUGGCUCCAACACUAACUAGGCGCCUAGUUUUUAGAAAAUAGCUUCAAUUACUGCUACACACUGGAUUAUGUUAUCUAAAUUCAUAUGAUGAAGCCAUAACCUCCCAGUGUGAUGAUAUUUGAAAACGAGGCCUUUGGUGGGUAGUUUAUGAGGGUGGGGUCCUCAUAAUGUGAUUAGCACCCUUAUAAGAAGAGGUAUCAGAGAGUGCUCUCUCUCUCUCUCAACACUAGGUGAGGACCCUGCAUAAAUAUGGCUAUGUGCAAGCCAGGAAGAGGGCUCAUACCAGAAACUAAGUUGGCCAUCCUUGAUCUUGGAACCCUCAGCAUCCAGAAGACCCAAAUCAACUAAGAUAGUAGUCUUCUCUAAAAAGGGGAAACUUUGCUGCAUAGAGUUGAUUUGCAAAACAAGUGAACAAUGCAUAUGCCACAGUCUAUUGCAUCAUGAAAAACCAGUGUGCAAUAGGUCUUUUUGUUCUUAGCAAGGUAAAGACAUUUGCAAUACUGACAGGAGAAAUGUCACCUACAAAUACUCUAAAGUGUGAAGUGACAUAAAUGUUUCUGCACAGCUAAAACUUUGGUAUAUGUGGAACAGUAUGGAAAAUGAGGCCAGAAAGGUAAAAUAGUAAGCUGCUUUUUGUCAUAAAGAGAGAAAUGGAACACUCAUUGUUCAAAAAUAGGUACAUAAUUGAGAGAUUUUAUUCAGAAUAAUGCCUGAUUAAUAUAAAUUUAGUCACUGUAAUAAUGUAGCUACAUAAUUUAUAUAUAUGUAUAUAUAUUCGCACAUUUUUUGCUUUAUCAGGAAUUUUUGUAUAUUCUACUAAUGACUUUUCUGUAUGAUAGCACAAAUUGCAAUUGUUGGCCACUGCCACAAAGUGGGGGAAAAUGCACAUUUUUAAGCAUUUCUUUGCUUCAUCUAUGAAAAUUUCAUCUUUGUGGUAUGAAUUAUGGAGCAUUGUCCUGAGUUGCCCUUAUAGGUGACCGCAGUUUGUGUGUUGUAUGCUGGAGUCCCAAUUGAGGACAUUACUGCAUAUAAAAUGAUUAUAAGUAAAAGGCAGAAAAUGUUCUGAAGGGUCAUAACUUCCAAGGGUUCUCUACCCUUUGACCUCUGGAUUGGGGUUCCCAGUGACUGCCUUAAUAUCCUUCUCUACCUACUGCCUUAAGGCCAACUCAAUGUAUCCACGUAAAGAGUACCCUAAAGCCAGUAAAAGAUUAUCACGAACACCCAGAGAUGUUUAUGGCCAUCAUUCCAGAUCCUCUUUGCUUUUUCUUGACUUACUCCUUUUUUGAUAAAGUUAUUCAUAUGGUUUCAAAUCCAGAAUUCAGCUAUUCACUUCAUGGCCCUAGUUUGGAUUAAAACAAUCAGCUUUCUUUUGCUCUGUAGAUGGCCUUGGACAGUACAUAUUAACAGUCUAUGGGGCCCCUUUUCCACUCAUGACCACAUCCUGCUUGCAGAUCUGCUGCUGGGUUAACACCACAUCAUCUGCUAGUUGAUGCCAUUUAUUUGACAUCCUGGGGUUACAGCACGCUAAAGGGCACCCACUGUCCUUAACAGAGAAAAAUACACUGCUGAGCAGAGGAUUAAACAGACUCCUCACACUACCGGAAGUUCAGUGCAUUUUCCAGGAUUUUCAAGUCUUCGAUGCUGUCAUGUUGAGAGUCCACUAUCCACGUUUGUUUAUCCAGGAAUAAUGCAGAAAAUCUGAGCAUUCGUGAAUCUAAUCAUUGAGAUACUUCAUUUUCUUAGCGUUUCUGGAGAUUACAACAUCCUGCGGUUCCGUUUCUGGGAACUUUACUGAUUUAUCUCCCCCCUCACACAAAUAAGCAUUGAUUCCUGCAUUUCUGAAGAUCUCAAGAUCUGGACUACUGUUGAAAAAAUUUCCAGUGAGGCUCACUUAUGUCUGUAAAGAUGGGAAAAAAAUACAAGAACAUUGUUCUACUAAAAGGAUUAGAGGUCAUCAAUGAUUAUCAUUUUAGAAUGGUUAAGUCCUUACUGAGCAACGAUUUAAAACUUAAUUUAAAAAUGAGAGAAGAGUAUGACAAAAUUCAGAUUGCUGACUUGAUGGAAGAAAAGUUCCGAGGUGAUGCUGGUUUGGGCAAACUAAUAAAAAUUUUCGAAGAUAUACCAACGCUUGAAGACCUGGCUGAAACUCUUAAAAAAGAAAAGUUAAAAGUAAAAGGACCAGCCCUAUCAAGAAAGAGGAAGAAGGAAGUGGAUGCUACUUCACCUGCACCCUCCACAAGCAGCACUGUCAAAACUGAAGGAGCAGAGGCAACUCCUGGAGCUCAGAAAAGAAAAAAAUCAACCAAAGAAAAGGCUGGACCCAAAGGGAGUAAGGUGUCCGAGGAACAGACUCAGCCUCCCUCUCCUGCAGGAGCCGGCAUGUCCACAGCCAUGGGCCGUUCCCCAUCUCCCAAGACCUCAUUGUCAGCUCCACCCAACAGUUCUUCAACUGAGAACCCGAAAACAGUGGCCAAAUGUCAGGUAACUCCCAGAAGAAAUGUUCUCCAAAAACGCCCAGUGAUAGUGAAGGUACUGAGUACAACAAAGCCAUUUGAAUAUGAGACCCCAGAAAUGGAGAAAAAAAUAAUGUUUCAUGCUACAGUGGCUACACAGACACAGUUCUUCCAUGUGAAGGUUUUAAACACCAGCUUGAAGGAGAAAUUCAAUGGAAAGAAAAUCAUCAUCAUAUCAGAUUAUUUGGAAUAUGAUAGUCUCCUAGAGGUCAAUGAAGAAUCUACUGUAUCUGAAGCUGGUCCUAACCAAACGUUUGAGGUUCCAAAUAAAAUCAUCAACAGAGCAAAGGAAACUCUGAAGAUUGAUAUUCUUCACAAACAAGCUUCAGGAAAUAUUGUAUAUGGGGUAUUUAUGCUACAUAAGAAAACAGUAAAUCAGAAGACCACAAUCUACGAAAUUCAGGAUGAUAGAGGAAAAAUGGAUGUAGUGGGGACAGGACAAUGUCACAAUAUCCCCUGUGAAGAAGGAGAUAAGCUCCAACUUUUCUGCUUUCGACUUAGAAAAAAGAACCAGAUGUCAAAACUGAUUUCAGAAAUGCAUAGUUUUAUCCAGAUAAAGAAAAAAACAAACCCGAGAAACAAUGACCCCAAGAGCAUGAAGCUACCCCAGGAACAGCGUCAGCUUCCAUAUCCUUCAGAGGCCAGCACAACCUUCCCUGAGAGCCAUCUUCGGACUCCUCAGAUGCCACCAACAACUCCAUCCAGCAGUUUCUUCACCAAGAAAAGUGAAGACACAAUCUCCAAAAUGAAUGACUUCAUGAGGAUGCAGAUACUGAAGGAAGGGAGUCAUUUUCCAGGACCGUUCAUGACCAGCAUAGGCCCAGCUGAGAGCCAUCCCCACACUCCUCAGAUGCCUCCAUCAACACCAAGCAGCAGUUUCUUAACCACGAAAAGUGAAGACACAAUCUCCAAAAUGAAUGACUUCAUGAGGAUGCAGAUACUGAAGGAAGGGAGUCAUUUUCCAGGACCGUUCAUGACCAGCAUAGGCCCAGCUGAGAGCCAUCCCCACACUCCUCAGAUGCCUCCAUCAACACCAAGCAGCAGUUUCUUAACCACGGUACAAGUUCCCUCUUCCCAAUACAUUCCCCUCGCUACUAUAUAAUGACAAGGAUUAACACAACCGUGAAAGCACCUCACCAAUCCCCUACUACAUACAAUGCUUUAAUUUAACCAAAUCAGUCAUUUAUUUAUCAAGUGUGUAUUUUGAGGUCCUAUCCAAAAUUAAAAUUCUGUUUUUAUCAUCUCUAUUCCAUAACAGGUAUAAUUAGAUGUUUGUUUAAUUUUAUUUUUCUUUUGGCUUACGUUUUUGUUUUUCCCUCAAUACAUCAUGAAAAUCAUACCUUAAAGUAGAACAAGGUGGGAAAAAACAGAGCCACCCAUAACACUAUCACUGAUUUUUCCCCUUUCAUUUAUUAUAACUCAAACAAUAUGUUUAAAAAUUUAGGAAAGGAAGGUACAUAAGCAAAAAUAACUUUUAACUGUCAGAAAUCUCUAUCUAAUGCCACAUUUCAGUACAUGGUCUUUCUGAUUUUAUACCUUUCAGUAUGUAUAUACAAAGAGUCUUAUUUUCUCUCAGAGUAAAUCACAUUCACAUAUUUUUCCAUAACCCAUGUUUUUUAUUAAUAUAUCGUGAACUGCCAUGCAAUCAUACAAUAUAGAUUUAAAUUAUUUUAUUGUACUAGAAAAAUUGCACAGUUAUUCCAUACAUUAUAAAAAUGAUCAUUUUUUAUUUGGCUUUAUGUUGUUUCCAGUAUUCUGUGUAUUUACAACGAACAUAAUAAGAUCACAUGUCUCUCAGAUCUUCUUUCAUUGCCCUCAGAGUAGCUUUAUAAUUAUUUCCUUAGGUUCUGUGCACCUUGUGUCAGGGUACUGAUGUCAUGGCUAUUGUGAGGUGAUUUGAUACUGAUUAACUUCAUUGGGAAUGGGUUUCCUAAUGUUAUGGAAAAUUGGCCACAUUGAUGAGUUCAUUAGAGUUAAGUCCAUCAGAGUUAAAGCCAUCACUCACAGGUGGCCAAUAUCAUCUUCCAGGACAGCUGCCUCCACGGACCAGCAGUGCUCAAUAUGACCUGACCUGGGUAGAAAGGAGUAAAACUGAGAUUCUUCUAAAAUCUCAUCUCUUUUGGGAGUCACUUCAUGGCAGCUUUGCCUUUACCCUCUGCUUCCCCAUACCUCUUGAUAGGGGAUAUGCCUUUUCUUUAUGGGUUAAUUCUCAUUAAAAAAGAAAUAUUCUUCCUUCCACUCUCAUAAAACAAUGAAGAUAAUAAAAUUACUCCUUACAUCUUUUUCAUUUCUUCCGUUACCUAAAUCAUACUAUCUCAGUGAUCUUUGUCUAGUUUUCCCUACUUUACCCAGUUAAGGUGAUACUUGAGGACCAACACUGAGGCUGAGAUGACUCUCACUAGAGAAUGACCCUGUUUUUCCUGUUUUAAUUGUGCCUAUGUUUUGGUCUCUACCUUCUAAGUUGAAACCAAGACUGAAGACUGAACCUGAAGAAGUUUCCAUAGAAGACAGUGCCCAGAGUGACCUCAAAGAAGUGAUGGUGCUGAACGCAACAGAAUCAUUUGUAUAUGAGCCCAAAGAGCAGAAGAAAAUGUUUCAUGCCACAGUGGCAACUGAGAAUGAAGUCUUCCGAGUGAAGGUUUUUAAUAUUGACCUAAAGGAGAAGUUCACCCCAAAGAAGAUCAUUGCCAUAGCAAAUUAUGUUUGCCGCAAUGGGUUCCUGGAGGUAUAUCCUUUCACACUUGUGGCUGAUGUGAAUGCUGACCGAAACAUGGAGAUCCCAAAAGGAUUGAUUAGAAGUGCCAGCGUAACUCCUAAAAUCAAUCAGCUUUGCUCACAAACUAAAGGAAGUUUUGUGAAUGGGGUGUUUGAGGUACAUAAG